UCAAACUUGGUCAUUUAGAGGAAGUAAAAGUCGUAACAAGGUUUCCGUAGGUGAACCUGCGGAAGGAUCAUUAGCGAAUAAACAAGUGCUGGUUGUGCUGACCAUUCGUGGUAUGUGCACGCCUGCCAUUGUUUCAUUCAUCUUUCCACCUGUGCACUUUAUGUAGUCCAUUGUGUUGCUAUUGUCAAGCUUUUAUUGAGCUUGGUUGAGAGGUUGCUUGUCUUGUGAUGGGCUCUUCUUGGGCAUACAUGGGCUAUGUUUACCAUCUACACCAUAUAAUGUUAAAGAAUGCAUAUUGGCCUUGUGCCUUUAAAUCAUAAUACAACUUUCAACAACGGAUCUCUUGGCUCUCGCAUCGAUGAAGAACGCAGC
rnacentral:misc_RNA from 1 species